rnacentral:lncRNA from 1 species
AGCCACUGGCACCUGAUGCCUCCCGGAGUUCAUGUCCCUUCUGCCUUUCCAAGGGGUGCUUCUGUCAGACUGGCCAGGGGACAAUACCCUGUUCCAGUUGAAAUUUAUGGUGAAGCAGCUGGAGAAACCAGACAAGAAGGCAGAAAAGCACUCCUACGCCAACCAGGCCAAAGUGAAGAAGUCCCUUCAGCAGAAAAAUGUAGAGUGCACCCGUGUGUACACCAAGAACACCAUCUGCAAGGAGAACAGCAGCGUGAACUGGCUCUACAUGGCAUCCGCCUGGACACAGUGGCCCCCGAGGUGCAGACAGCUGUGACCAUGAAGGUGGUAACCAAGAACAUGGUGUAGGUGACCAAAGCCCCAGACAAGGCCUGAACACCACGGACCUGCAGAAGGCCUCUGCAGCGAUGGACAGGUUUGAGUAGCAAGUGCAAAACCUGGCCAUGCACACAUUAGUGAUGGAGGAUUCCAUGAGCUCGGCCGCCACACUGACCAUGCCUCAGGAGCAGGUGGACAGACCCAUUGUGCAGAGCGCCAAGGAGAAUGGCCUGGAGGUCCUAGACCAGCUCAGCCAGUUGCCCAAGGGUGCCUCUGCCGGGCGAGAGCUCCGUGUGAAGCCAGGAGGAACAGCUGUCAAGGGCGUUAGCCGCCCUGAGGAAUUA